GGACCGUAUACAAGUCUCCUGGGAUGGAGCAUCAUAGAGGGUGAGAAUCCCGUCUUUGAUACGGACUACCAGUGCAUUGUGGUAUGCUCUCAACGAGUCGAGUUGUUUGGGAAUGCAGCUCAAAAUGGGUGGUAAAUUCCAUCUAAAGCUAAAUAUUGGCGAGAGACCGAUAGCGAACAAGUACCGUGAGGGAAAGAUGAAAAGAACUUUGGAAAGAGAGUUAAACAGUACGUGAAAUUGCUGAAAGGGAAACGCUUGAAGUCAGUCACGUCUGCUGGGAAUCAGCCUCGCUCCUGCGUGGUGUACUUUCUGGUAUGACGGGUCAGCAUCAGUUUUGAUCACUGGAAAAAGGUGUGGGGAAUGUGACAGCUCCGGCUGUGUUAUAGCCUCAUAUUGUAUACAGUGGUUGGGACUGAGGAACGCAGCACGCCGAAAGGCCGGGUCUUUGACCACGUUCGUGCUUAGGAUGCUGGCAUAAUGGCUUUAAGCGACCCGUCUUGAAACACGGACCAAGGAGUCUAACAUGCCUGCGAGUGUUUGGGUGGAAAACUCGAGCGCGCAAUGAAAGUGAAAGUUGRGAUCCCUGUCGUGGGGAGCAUCGACGCCCGGACCAGAACUUUUGGGACGGAUCCGCGGUAGAGCAUGUAUGUUGGGACCCGAAAGAUGGUGAACUAUGCCUGAAUAGGGUGAAGCCAGAGGAAAC
rnacentral:rRNA from 1 species